rnacentral:rRNA from 1 species
UACGUAGGGUGCAAGCGUUGUCCGGAAUUAUUGGGCGUAAAGAGCUCGUAGGCGGUCUGUCGCGUCUGCUGUGAAAACUCAAGGCUUAACCCCGGGCCUGCAGUGGGUACGGGCAGACUAGAGUGCGGUAGGGGAGACUGGAAUUCCUGGUGUAGCGGUGAAAUGCGCAGAUAUCAGGAGGAACACCGGUGGCGAAAGCGGGUCUCUGGGCCGUAACUGACGCUGAGGAGCGAAAGCAUGAAGAGCGAACAGG